rnacentral:rRNA from 1 species
AUUGAACGCUGGCGGCAGGCCUAACACAUGCAAGUCGAACGCGUGGCGGACGGGUGAGUAAUGUCUGGGAAACUGCCUGAUGGAGGGGGUUAACUACCGGAAACGGUAGCUAAUACCGCAUACCAUCAGAUGUGGCCAGAUGGGAUUAGCUAGUUGGUGGGGUCACGGCUCACCAAGGCGACGAUCCCUAGUUGGUCUGAGAGGCUGACCAGCCACACUGGAACUGAGACACGGUCCAGACGCCUACGUGAGGCAGCAGUGGGGAAGAUUGCACAAUGGGCGCAAGCCUGAUGCAGCCAUGCCGCGUGUAUGAAGAAGGCCUUCGGAUUGUAAAGUACUUUCAGCGGGGAGGCGUUACCCGCAGAAGAAGCACCGGCUAACUCCGUGCCAGCAGCCGCGGUAAUUC